UCCAAUGAUGUAAAGGUAGCAUAGGAGACUCAUAAUCUCUAAGUGGUGGUUCAAGUCCACCUUGGACAA